rnacentral:lncRNA from 1 species
AAAUAUAUUUAUAUUAUUAUAUAAUACAUUAAAAAUACAUUAAAAACAUUAAAAUUUAAAUACAUUAAAAUUAAAUAAAAUAAACAAAUAAAAAACGAAAUAAAAAAAUUAUAAUACCAAUUAAAUUAAGAAUAUAAUUAUUUUUCAUUAAUGGAAUAUGAAAGUGAAAGAAUAGAAAUAGAAAAAUAUUCCAAUUUCAUUUAUAUUUUCUU